GUGCCAGCAGCCGCGGUAAUACGGAGGGUGCGAGCGUUGUCCGGAAUCACUGGGCGUAAAGGGCGCGUAGGCGGUGGGAUAAGCGUGUGGUGAAAGUCCGGGGCUCAACCGCGGAUCGGCCGUGCGAACUGUCUCACUGGAGCACACUAGAGGCGGGUGGAAUUCCGGGUGUAGCGGUGGAAUGCGUAGAGAUCCGGAAGAACACCGGUGGCGAAGGCGGCCCGCUGGGGUGGUGCUGACGCUGAGGCGCGACAGCGUGGGGAGCAAACAGGAUUAGAUACCCCCGUAGUCC
rnacentral:rRNA from 1 species